rnacentral:tRNA from 1 species
GGGCCCGUGGCCUAGUAUGGAUAGGGCAUCGGCCUCCUAAGCCGAGGGUCGUGGGUUCAAAUCCCACCGGGCCCG